CUGAAUGGAAAUCAGGAACAAACUGCUCAUCACUAUCUGGUACCUGAGCUGCAGAGAGACGUCAAGAGUGAGUGUGGGGUGGGGGUCCUGAAUGGCAGCCCCUGGGAGACAGGACAUCAUUAUUACAGCCCUGCAGAUUAGCACCAGCCCAAAGGGGAAAACAGCCUUCCUAGAACUGACGGUAGCUUCACCCCAGGUCCUAGUGCCCUCCAUCUCUAGGCUCCUUUAGACCCUGGUGGGAAGGCUGCAAGUUCCCAGAACCAGUCUGAGCAGAUUCCGGAGUCUUUUCCUAGAUCCUUUGUCUCUAUUCCCUCCAUUUUUAAGUGAAGGCAGCCCUGACCCUUUAAAUUUACAAAGCUCCGUCAAAGAUCCCAGCAGUCACAGCUGCCAGCAGUCACAGCUGGGAUGGGCAGGCAUUACAAAGAGAGAUCCUUGUGCAUUUAGAAUCAUUUGGGAAAAUCCUGAAUCUGGGGUAGGCCCUGGAAUAUGCAUAUUAUACAACCUCCUGGGUGAAAUCUAGAAAUCUAGAGCCUUGGAAGGGAGAUAGAAUAGAGUAAAGAGGUUCCAAAGAGGGGAAAAGAGGAUGACAAUGGAGAGGAGGGGGCUGGGUACACAGGCAGAUCAAAAUGGGCCUCAUCCCUUUGAUGUGCAGUUAGGACAGAAAGGGCUUCCUAAACCCUCAGGUCUGAGGAGCAGCCCAGGGUGCCAGUGUGGGCGGAGCUGGGUUUAGGGAUUAGGAAACAAAGCUAAAUUAGAACAGCCGCUCCUGCAGGGCCAACCUGGAUAUCCAGGCUUUGAUUUCUACUGCUUAUCCUGGUCUCAUCAACUCCUUCAGGUGGGCUUACAGCUGAGGACCUUCCCCUGACCCGAGCCUACCCACCUCUGUUUCUCUUUUAUAGAUUACAGCAAGUAGGAGAGGGGCAGACACCCAGAAUGUCCGAGUCCAGGAAAAGAAUGGCUCAAAGGCUGGUGGCAGGCCACAGAGUGGGCCUGGAAGCAAGAACUGAAGAGAUCUAACCAACCAGCCCUUCUCUCUCCCUGAGGGCUCCCCCUCCUCAGCACCAGGAGUUCUGGACCAGGGUGAGGGGAUGGGCACCCCCCGAAGCCAGCUGCCUGCAUCAGGAACAGAAACUCUUUUGCCAGCCCCAGGACCUGACCGCCCCUGAGGCUUCUAAGGGCUUUCCGGCUGCAGCUAUACAUUUAUUUCUCCUGUUGGUUCUCAGCUCUCCUGUUGGUGACCCUAGCCCAGAUUUGUCUGGUAAUUGACAGCCACAGUUGCUAGUUUAUCAUCUGGAGCCAGGGAGCCCACAGCCCAGGAAAUGAUGCUUCUAGAUGAAGACUCUGCCUUCAUCUCACUCCGUGGGGCCCAGGUGCCUUGGUGGGGAAAAGCAGGACAGGAAAAGGAAGGAGGGGAAAAGGAGGAGGAAUAUUAGGGUGAGGCAUGCUGAGAGGACACAAUACCUCACCAGAUGGGGGACCAGACAUUCAGGUGUUUGCACAUAUGCCUUACACUUUAAUUUUCCUAAGCUUUUUCUGAUGUUCUUUUUUUACAUUUUCCAGCAUUCCUUGAAGUAGGUAUUUUUAGUUUCAUUUUAUAGUUGAACACCCUGAAGUUCAGAGAGCAAUUUGCCUUGUGUCAGCUAGGGGUGGGAGAGGGGACAAACGCCCCUCCCCCAACCCCCCCAACCCCCAGUUGCCUGCCUGCUUCUGCCCAGCUCUGGGGCUCGCAGGGGCAAAAGCAAGUUAUGCUUACCAGGCUGAUCCCUAGUCCUCAGACACCCGGACCCCACCUGACUCUCGCCUCCCUGACUUUUCCUUUUUAUUUUCUUUUGUCCCCGCUAAAAGUCCCACUUGAAUGCUAGGAAAUACCUGUUAGGGUCUUGUUAAUUGUUUUUCUUCUUUGGGGGUGGUUCAGCAUUUUCUUAAAUUGCUCAUCAGACAUGAAUGUCUCCCACAAAAGGAAAACUGAUGGGGGGUUGGGGGGAAGCAUUUUGCUCCCUAGAA